AAUAGCUGUCUGCUUUAAUGCACGUAGGGUAAAGAGCUGAAUGGAUAAAUCUCAGCAACGAUCAGCUCCUGAAUUCUUUGGUUCUUUGUCCGUUCGUAAGUCAGCCUCCUCCGGGGGAUGAGGUUGUGCUGCGGUACUUCAUUGUCCAGCCCAUCGAUUUUAUAUGGCACGUCUACUGCAUUGAUUUCUGGGUGAUCCUCAGUUGCAUUGGAAUGAGUGGCGUUUGAUUUGGGAACAAGAGGAGGACUAGCAGUAGCCUGCAUGACAACCACCCCAGUAGGAGGAGUAAGGGACUUGCAACACAGCUUAUUGUAACCAGGCAUUGAACAGUAACGAGAGAGAACUUCCAUGCGACAAAACGUGGACCUGUCUCCUUGGCAACGUUCCCCUGAAAGAGAAAAAGAGGAAAGGAAAUUAUCAUAUUAACAGCAAAAUUUAAAUAUGUGAUCACAUGAUAAUGACAAGUUUGAAGUGCUACAUUGCUGAAGAGCCAAAGAUUUGAAAGUGCCACCUUUCUAAAGGAUAGGAUCAGUGGAAUAAGGUAGCAAUUUACAAUGUAACUCAAAGACUGCUGUUUAAAAAUUGAUAUGCUUCUACUAUUACUUGAUGUCACAAAUGGUUUUAUGCACAGUGAAUUCCAAAUCUUCAACACAAACACAUAAGGUGAAGCAACAAUGGCAAUUAAAUUUUGAGACAUUAAAUAAUGACCGUUUCUUUAUGAAAUGUACAUGGACUGUGCAAAUUAACCUUUGAUUAAA